UUCCGGUUCAAAAGAUGUUACUUCCGGUAUUGUUUUAUAGUUUACUUGACCCUGCUUAACCGAACACUUUCCCAUAUAAGAGUUAUCUCCCCGAACACUGUUUUCCUUGUUAUCGUUUAAUAUUCGCAACCGUAUAAGAAACCGACAAAUUUAUUUUACCAAAUUGCUCGUUAUAUCCUCAGGAUAAAUUGAUCAAUUUUGACCGAAGCUAUCCGGAGACUCUAUACGAGAGUUAUUUCCCCUUUUUUAUUUGAUAUAAGUGAAAUGUAUUUGAUUUGAUUUGAGGUCCACGGUUCCAAAAAAUGAAAAUGAGGUAAAGGUCAAAGGUUAAGGUCAUGUACAAAAAAAUGAUUUUGGCUUGUUAUCUCUCAUUUUCAGAAAACUUAUAAGAUAUCGACAAAAUAUUCUCGUUAUAUCCUCAGGAUAAAUUGAUCAAUUUUUACCGAAGCUAUCCAGAGACUCCAUACGAGAGUUAUUUCCCCUUUUUUAUUUGAUAUAAGUGAAAUGUAUAUCUAACUAGAAAACCAUAAGUGAUAUAGGCCUAGGGUCUUGAUUUGAGGUCCACGGUUCCAAAAAAUGAAAAUGAGGUAAAGGUCAAAGGACAAGGUCAUGUACAAAAAAUUGAUUUUGGCUUGUUAUCUCUCAUUUUCAGAAAUCUGAAAAGAUAUCGACGAAAUAUUUUCACACAAUUGUUAGUUGCGACAUGUUGCACCACAUAAAUUUUAGUCGAAAGGGAACGUAAUCCUUGAUGCGAGUUUUCCCCCCUUUAAUAUCUAAUAUCAGUCGUAUGGUAAUAUAUCUCAUUAAAAAUAUAAAGUAGAGACCUAGAGCCUUUUGAUUUGAGGUUCUUGGUUGAAGACCUUGAAAUUGAGCUCAAGGUCAUAUGUAAAUUUAACGUUCUAGAUUUUGACCUUUGCUUUUACCUCAUUUGUAUUUUUGAUAAAGCUAUGGGACUUUUUGCAUUAAGUUGCAAGCAAUAUGACCUUGAAAAAGCUAACCGGAAGUGAUCUUUUGUAAACCGGAAGUAGCUAAUUUUUUAUAAAUUAUUGUUAAAG
rnacentral:lncRNA from 1 species